ACCUACGGGGCGCAGCAGUGGGGAAUAUUGCACAAUGGGGGAAACCCUGAUGCAGCGACGCCGCGUGAGCGAUGAAGUAUUUCGGUAUGUAAAGCUCUAUCAGCAGGGAAGAAGAUGACGGUACCUGACUAAGAAGCCCGGGCUAACUACGUGCCAGCAGCCGCGGUAAUACGUAGGGGGCAAGCGUUAUCCGGAUUUACUGGGUGUAAAGGGAGCGUAGGCGGCAGGGCAAGCCUGAUGUGAAAGCCCGGGGCUCAACCCCGGGACUGCAUUGGGAACUGCCCCGCUCGAGUGCCGGAGGGGCG
rnacentral:rRNA from 1 species